UUGUCCAAUAAUAUCAAAUGGAAGGUCCCAGAAAUAAAUAACUCACUAGUUUUAAAUGACGGCUCAUUGUAGGUAGCACGAGGUCAUCUCGCAGUGCCUCACUCCAUGUGAAUCAUUCCAGUCCAGAGCAUCAGCUCUGCACACUAUCUCCCUUUAGUUACCUGGGAGCCAGCCUGGCUACCAUACCACCUGCUACAGUCCUACGGUACUCCUGUUCAACUCUUGAAUUUUACUUAACAAAGGUCCAGAAGGGCAAGUGUAGUGUGAUGCUACCAACUGGGGAAAGGCCAAAGAAGCCACAGAGCACAGCACUCGGUGUUAAGUGGUAUCUUCCAUCACCACAGGAAGAAGGGACUGGGCUGGUCAACAUUCCAUAGUGAAUGGGAGAGGCGGUCAUGAGGUUCCUGUGUUCCCCAAAGGACUAGUGGCAGUUCAUAAAUGCUGGGAAAGGCUUCAUUUUUCUUUGGUGGUAUAGCCACUGAAACAGAGCUCAUGCCUGGGUGCCGGUCAGGGUUGGUGAGGUGGCUCAGCAGGUCGAAGAGCACUUGCCUGAUGACUCGUGUUGGAUCACAGGAACUCACAUAGUGGAAGGAGAGAACCAAUUCCCACAUGCUAGCCUCUGCCUGCCGUAUCAGAUAUACACGAUGAAUAAAGAAAGUUUCGUUAUUAUAGUCAAGCCACCAUACUCAUAGAAUUCUUGGUAAAUGCCUGGCCAUCUUCAGAGCAGCCGUGUAAGAUGUCAUCAUAUCCACACUUCAGAGCCAGGAUUCCAGUGAUCUGAGGAACUCCAAAGUCAAAGCCUUCAUCGUGCAAACAGUGAAGAUGGUCAAACGUGCGGGUUAGGGUCUGAAGGUGCAAAGCAAGUCGUGAAGGACAUGCAGGUAUUCAUGCUCAGUACACUCAGCUACUGUGAUGGUGACUUUUAUGUCAUUAUUUCCAUUCAUCUCGGUUACUGACACUUUUUCAGGACGGGGUCCCACUUCUAAAAUUUUGGGGAUUAAAUUAGGUGGUAUUUUUUUCUUGUCUUUGUGCACUAAUAAAGAUCCAUAAAACUUGAACAAAAAUAAAUACAACUUUUAACAGGCAGUGGUGAUGAACACCUUUAAUCCCAGCACUCUGGAGGCAGAGGCAGGCAGAUCUUUGAGUUCAAGGCCAGACUGGACAGAACAAAUUCUAGGAUAACCCAGGCUACACAGAGAAACCCUGUCUCCAGAAUUAAAAACAAAAACAAAAAACCCAAAACAACCCACAAAACCUUUUUACAACUAUGGUUUACGUUUUUAAGGUGACAUAUAGAAUGGGAAAAUCAGAGUUAGUAUCAGCUCCAAAAGAAAACAGAAAUUACCUGAAUCGUUUAUUAAACUGCCUGAGCUAAAUUUAUCUAGAAAAAUAUAUAACUUGGCCCAAAUAACAUGAUUCUGCUCCCCACUCAAGAAGGAGUCUCACUAUGUAGCUCUAGCUGGCCUGAAACUCACGUAGACUAUGGUGGCCUCAAACUCACAGAGAUCGUCCCAUCUCUGCUUCUGUCCCAGAGUGCUAGGACGGAAGGCACGUGCCAUCACACACAGGUGCAAUCUUUCAAAGGCAGACUUCCACAAAUCUGCAUUAUUUGGGGGAGAAAACAAUUCUCUGGCUUUAUGAAUCAGCACAAACAAAAGAAAGGGGUUUAGCAUUCUAGUCCCGUUCCCUUUGGCAUCUCCCUCCCUUCUCCUGUCUUACCCCUUGGAUUGGCACUCACCAGGCAGGCAGUGCGGGGUACCACUCUUUGGAGAAACAAUCGCCGAAAUCUCAGGCCCACUUGAAUGGAUUUCCUCUCAAUCCCCACCUCCUGGUAUCUGUUCCCUGUCGCCUUCCUCUGUUAUUCCAGCCAGACUUCUUUGUGUCAAACAUAGGCCACCCCAGGUAACUCACCAGGUGUUCCAAAGGUGUACCUCACAAAGGCUUUCCUCCCAAACUUCCUGUUUGCCAGUCUCACAAGAUGCCUGGCCAAGGUGCUCUCUUUCCUGUUUGCUUAGGAAACAAUGGAAAAGUUGUCUUUUCAAAAACAAGCACUUAAGGUAUUUGCCAAACAGGCUGGAUGGAGGAAACACUGGGUGUUUAUUGAAGACUCGGGUACCAAGAGCUGUGGUGGGGCCUUUGGGAGGCCAUGUUUCCCCCAACUGUAUGGGAUUGUCUUAUUCGGCCAGUUUUGGGAACCCUGCUGCAGAAUAGAAGAAAAUAAUUACAUAGUGCAAUACAAAGAGAUUUAUUGUCACGAAACCCCAAGAAGUUUAUCACGUUGUAGAUACAAGCACAAGGAAGACUGGAUGCUAGACACAAUGGGCAGGUGUUGUACAAUCCAUUAGACCAGGUGGACACACGGGCCCAGAAUAGCUGCAGAGGGAGGAAGAAGCUCUGGGCUGGGCUCACGAGUAAAGCAUGGCUUACACUGCUAAGGAUGCACAGGAUAUGAGUAAGGGUGGAAAUGUCUGGGUUGGAGGUGACAUGAAAUGACUGACAGGAACCGAAGAGGAGAGAGGUCUGACUGGAGCCCAGACAAUGCAGAAGAACAAGAGUCCUCAUGAUGCAGAGGAUGCGGAAUUCCAUCUGGGGCUGGGAUUAAAUUAGAGCUUAAUGCUGUAGAGGAGGAGGGGCCCUUCAGGUUGGUUGAGGCAGCUGAUGAAACAAUGCCUGUAGCCGGUGAGUCUGCCCAGCGAUUUCCCUCAGUGGCCUAGAGGUUCUUACUCAGAGAGGGUUCUUAAAAAAAAAAAUCAAAUUGCUGGGCCCCACCUUCUGAAUCUGAAAGUCAGAAGUCGGGGGGUGGGGGUGGGGUGGGGAUAAGAACCAGAGACUCUGCAUUCCCUAGCAAGUUCUCAGCGAUCCUGAGGCUGGGUCACAGUGGAGAAGUUGCUUGAUGGGCUGGAGAUAACUGUGACCUAGUGCCAGGACAAGGGUUAUCAUCCAAAGAAUGGAAGCAAAGGAACUGGUGGGCGGUUGGAAUGUGUGUAGGAAAUUGAGAAAAUGGAGGUUUGUGUAAGAGUUCGAAUCUGUGGGUCCAGAUAAGCAAGAAUAAAAGGGUACAUUCCACAAAGAGCUGUCUUUAUUGCAGUGAAAUCGCUGGUCAAAUGGAAUCCUUCCCGCUUGCUCUGUUGCUCCUGGUCAUGUAAAAUUCGGCAGCAAUGGCCAGCUAGUGAGGGCUUAAUGAAAGCAGAGGCUGGCAGGGCUGCCAGAGGCCUGCCCUAGGCACUGUGGGACAGAUUGGGCAAUUUGUGAUUGGCAGGGUCGCCCAAGCUAACCUGACCCACUUACAUGCUUGUCCCAGGCUGAGCUCUGUAGCAUUGUUUCAUAUCAGCCGCUUGCAUCGGCUCUACACCCAAACCAGAAAUGCCUGUUCAGAACUAGCAUGACAGCUGUUGUCACUGCCACCCCACCCCCACUUGGGGGCUGGGAACCGUGAACCUUGACUCACUAAACCAGUGGCUCCCUAACUUUUGGGAUGGGCAGUGCCAUCAGUUUCUCUUGAAUUUACCACCAGGGGAUGCCAUUCCAGCCCUAUUGUGAAGUUGAUAACUCCAAGACAGAGGAGGACUCCAGUCUAGGGUGGAAGUAUGAAAGAACCCUUGGGGAUGCUCCACUGGAGAGAGGAGCUAGUGAACACCCCCUUCCCUUGUUGGCAACAGAGUAGAGAAGGACAGCCCUGCACACCUCCUCUUGCAGCCUCUCAGAACUGCAGGUACACAGCUAGGCAGUUGUCUCUGUCUUGUUAUGGUGCCUCUGCUUUAAGAUCAGAAAGUCAGUUCUAGGACCACUGGACUGCAGCCUCAAACAAGUGUACAAAGUUGUUCCCUCUCAAAUCACAGGGAGAGGAGAAAAGCAUAAAUCAGCAUAGAAAUACUUCACUCGGGCCCAUGUAUCACACACACAAUGUUUCUAUGAAAAAAUAAACCCCCCAAUUCUGCAUAGUACCCAUUCUGUCAGCGAAGGACAUUUCCAGAAAGAGUUCUGUGAAUAUCUUACAUUUCUGAGAUUCUAGUAUUAUAAAUUAGACCAUUUCAAAAGAGAGGCACCCACAAAGAUGUCCCCUUGGUCUAACAUGUUAGAGACCAUUUCAAAAGAGAGGCACCCACAAAGAUGUCCCCUUGGUCUAACAUGUUAGAGACCAUUUCAAAAGAGAGGCACACACAAAGAUGCCCUCUUGGUCUAACAUGUUAGAGACCACUCAGAAGGAGAGGCACACAUCAUGCUCCCUUGGUCUAGCCUGUUAGAGACCACCCAGAAAGAGAUACCAACAAAGAUGCCCACUUAGUCUAGCCAACUAGAGAAAGUAGUACCCACAAAAAUGCCUACUUAGUUGAGAAUAUCUGUAAAAGUAAUUUUAAUCUCCCUAUUAAUUGUUAUCUCUGAUGUUUACUGCCUCCAUCUGUUAACCUAGGCCUAGUCCUAGAGACUUCUAGCCUCCAUACAAUCUAAUCUAGGCCUAGAAUGGUUUCAGCCUCUGAGAGUAAGUCUCCCCCAUUCUAAUUCUUUCUGAGCUCUGACUGGCUGAUUCAACUCAGCUGUUCUGGCUCAAACUCAUCUGCAAGCUGACUGGGUCUAUCUAGCUUCUCGCAGUUUCUCCCGAAUUGCUCUACUUGGCUUCAUAUUAACUUUGGAAAUAUCUUCUAAUCUCCUGGCUCCUUCUCACUCUCUAGCUUGUUCUCUCUUCACCUGUGUCUAGCCUGUUCUCUCUUCAACUUGUCUCUGCAAAACAAUCAUGGUAGAACUGUCUCCUUCCCUCUCUUUCUCUCUGCACUGCUCUCUUAGCCUCUUUUUCCUCUCUCUUUUCAUGAGAUUCUAU